rnacentral:rRNA from 1 species
UACGGAGGGUGCAAGCGUUUAUCCGGAUUCACUGGGUUUAAAGGGUGCGUAGGCGGGCAGGUAAGUCCGUGGUGAAAUCUCUGAGCUUAACUCAGAAACUGCCAUGGAUACUAUUUGUCUUGAAUGUUGUGGAGGUAAGCGGAAUAUGUCAUGUAGCGGUGAAAUGCUUAGAUAUGACAUAGAACACCAAUUGCGAAGGCAGCUUACUACACAACUAUUGACGCUGAGGCACGAAAGCGUGGGGAUCAAACAGG